rnacentral:rRNA from 1 species
CGUGUAGGCUGAUUUGUAAGUCGGGUGUGAAAUCCCUGGGCUCAACCUAGGAACUGCAUCCGAAACUGCGAGUCUAGAGUGUUGGAGAGGGAAGCGGAAUUCCUGGUGUAGAGGUGAAAUUCGUAGAUAUCAGGAGGAACACCGGUGGCGAAGGCGGCUUCCUGGACAAUUACUGACGCUGAGACGCGAAAGCGUGGGGAGCAAACA